ACGAUAUGCGGGGAUUCCUGUUUGACUGCUCUGAACACAAACACUCAAACAUGAUUAAACAAAAUAGGAAUACAUCCCAGAAACAAGGCAGCAUGCACACCAACAGGGCUUGUGUUUAAUCCCCGGGAUUAGUGUGCAUCCAGGAGCCACCCUAUAAACUCCAAAUGCUUCAUUGUGUAUAGGACAAUGUGUAGGAUGGUGUGUUAUGUGUGUGAGGGUGUAACGCAAAAGCCACUUUGUAUUUAGUCAAAUUGCAGAGCGAAAUCAGCAUGGGCUGGUUUUUACGUUUACAGAAGGAAGCAGAAAAGGCUUGAUAGACUAAACAAACCAGGAGAUCAAUCGGAGGAAAAGUUUCCAAAGCAACCCAAUUUCUGAGUUUCCUCAAAUCUUCUACCACAACAUAGUGUGAGAAGCCCUGCAUUCGAAUAAUGAAGUCAAACAUACAGAACCAAAACCUCAGUGGAGUCCAGUUGUCACAACAAAAAUCUAGUGAAUUAACAUGAGACCGAAAUAAGAUGAAAGACCAAACAGCAACUGAACUCUACAACAGAGUGGUCCUGGAGGGGGGUGUGGCCAAAUAUUCUAAUAAACACAUCUAAUUCAGAACCAUCUGUCUGAGAGUCCGCCCAGAACACCACUUCAGCAGGGAACCAGGAAUCAACCUGUUCGUAGCAACCAGCCAGGAACACAACCACGUCUCCUCCGCACUUUCAUCAUCCGUCUAGAAUCAGAGGCGUGAAAUCACACACAGACAGUGGAUACCUCAGUGUGUGUGUGUGUGUGUGUGUGUGUGUAAGGCAGAGGGAGAGACAGAUUCCAGGCUCCACACUGACUUGCCCAUAGCAACUGCACCAGCGCUGCUCUGCUCUGAUUGGACGAGCCUGAUAAGUCUGGGAGAGGAUUUCAGCCAAUCAGUGUGCUUGGAAUGCUAAGCCGGGGUUCCAUGAUCACCAUGGUAACAGGACGACACACUUGAGUCAGUCAAACAUGGAGUCCACACACACACACACACACACUCACACACACACAAAGAGCUGCUACAUGCUGCAGAAUUGUGAGCUGUGUAAAGACAUGCAGUAUAUAAAGUGUG